rnacentral:snRNA from 1 species
CCUUUAAGUACUUUUUCGGG